rnacentral:rRNA from 1 species
ACGUAGGGACCAAGCGUUGUUCGGAUUUACUGGGCGUAAAGGGCGCGUAGGCGGCUUGACAAGUCACUUGUGAAAUCUCCGGGCUUAACUCGGAACGGCCAAGUGAAACUGUCAUGCUAGAGUGCAGAAGGGGCAAUCGGAAUUCUCGGUGUAGCGGUGAAAUGCGUAGAUAUCGAGAGGAACACCUGCGGCGAAGGCGGGUUGCUGGGCUGACACUGACGCUGAACUGCGAAAGCUAGGGGAGCGAACGGGA